CUAGUACAUUCAGGCUCUUCAAAGCCAAGCUCCAAGCCGAAACUUGCAGCAAGCAAUGCUUCCAGGACUGUGGAACUCAGCCCAGAGUACACCAUGGAGACCCUCGUCGCAGAGGCGAUGAGAAUGCCCUGGUAAGCGCUCCGUCGGCAGAGGACUGUCCCAGGACUCUCCCUUGACCUCUUACCUGGUCACUAGGGUGAGGAGGGAUGGGGGAAGAGCUGCUGAGAGAGGAGUCUGAUGUUUAAGUCCAGGGUCCUUUGCAGUUCAGAGAGAUUCUGAGCGAGACUCCCUUGCCAAAAGAAAGAGGAAGAAAACAGGCCCUGCUUACUAAGCAUUAGACAUUGCAUUUUGACCUGUGACUCCUUUCAGUUCUCAGCUGACAGAGGCUGCUGAACAUAAUAUGCAGGAAGAAGACUGACUCCUUUUUUGGCUCACUGCUCUCUGUCCCCUCCCAAGGGUACGGCUUCACAAGCACCAGCUGAGGAUCAAACGACCACCAGGACCUCCUACCUGCCCUUAUUUUCUGAAAGGGUGAACCUGUGUAAGCCCAAGGUCAACAGCAUCAAAUGUGAGACACACACACUUCCUCUACUGAGCAGAGGAAAAUAUUCAGGUACAAAGGAGACACUGAGUCAUUCCCAGGUCAGUCCAGCUGCCCGUGAGCCAGUUCCAGACAUAUUUAUGCCAAAAACAGGACUCAACACUAAAAAAAAGAGGGAGAGAGAGAGAGAAAUUGGAAGAAAGAAACUACCCAAAUAAUCUAUGCAGAAAUGCACAGUUCAGAACACACACGUCUUAACAAACUCAAACAUAAAUCUCAGGCUUCAAGAUAGAUACCACACAGCCUAGACUCGGCCUUCUCACUGGCAUUUCCCAUUCAAACCCUAACCCCAGUCCCGCUCUUUGACUAGUGUGAGUAACCUCUUUAGACAGGAAUAAUGCCCUCUGUGUCUUAGAAGGUCAGUGCAUUCCAAGAAACUUGAGGGAAAAAGAGAUCAGAGUUUUUCCCUCUUGCUAAUGAACCAAUGGCAAAGCAUUAAGGCUUUUCAAAUCAGUAUCAUCAAUUAAUUAUACUCUAUUUGAGACACAGCCUCUGCUCACUACUGUUUAUUUCCCUUCAUAUUUUUUGAGAUAUAUUUCACAUACCAUAAAAUGUACUCUUGUAAAGUGUACAACUCUAGUUUUUAGCAUUGCUCACUGCUCCUUAAAUCUAAACUUCAAACUGAAAGACUAGGAAAAGAAAGAGAGCAAGAAGAUCUGAAUAUGAUUAAAAACUUAAAAAAUAAUAAGUCUUCUAUGUAAAGAAAGGUUUCCAAAGCUCAAGUAAGGUAGAUUCUGUUCAAAAUCUAAAUAGUAGGUUUGUCUCUUGAAAAUCGUUACCAAAUUGAAGUCAGGAUUAUAUUUCUGGAUCUAAGGUAGGGAUAAGAAGUAGAGGAAUCUGCAACUGAAUUUAGCCAUCUAUAUCCUUGAAAGAUUCUG
rnacentral:lncRNA from 1 species